rnacentral:rRNA from 1 species
UACGAAGGGGGCUAGCGUUGCUCGGAAUGACUGGGCGUAAAGGGCGCGUAGGCGGCUUGUAUAGUCAGAUGUGAAAUUCCUGGGCUCAACCUGGGGGCUGCAUUUGAUACGUAUGGGCUUGAGUGGGGAAGAGGGUCGUGGAAUUCCCAGUGUAGAGGUGAAAUUCGUAGAUAUUGGGAAGAACACCGGUGGCGAAGGCGGCGACCUGGUCCUUGACUGACGCUGAGGCGCGAAAGCGUGGGGAGCAAACGGG